AUCCAGCUGCCGAGACCCAAAUAGGACGAAACGCGCGUCCUGGAU
rnacentral:hammerhead_ribozyme from 1 species